rnacentral:rRNA from 1 species
GACGAACGCUGGCGGCGUGCUUAACACAUGCAAGUCGAACGGUGAAGCGCCUUCCUUUUUGGUGGGUGUGGAUGAGUGGCGAACGGGUGAGUACCACGUGAGUAACCUGCCCCCUUCUUCUGGAUAACCGCAUGAAAGUGUGGCUAAUACGGGAUAUUCUGGGUCUGUCGCAUGAUGGGUCUGGGAAAGAUAUUGUUUCGGUGGGGGAUGGGCUCGCGGCCUAUCAGCUUGUUGGUGGGGUGAUGGCCUACCAAGGCGGUGACGGGUAGCCGGCCUGAGAGGGUGGACGGUCACACUGGGACGGAGACACGGCCCAGACUCCUACGGGAGGCAGCAGUGGGGAAUAUUGCACAAUGGGCGCAAGCCUGAUGCAGCGACGCCGCGUGAGGGAUGGAGGCCGUCGGGUUGUGAACCUCUUUCGCCAGUGAAGCAGGCCUGCCUCGUUUGUGGGUGGGUUGACGGUAGCUGGAUAAGAAGCGCCGGCUAACUACGUG